rnacentral:rRNA from 4 species
UGGGGAAUAUUGGACAAUGGGCGCAAGCCUGAUCCAGCCAUACCGCGUGGGUGAAGAAGGCCUUCGGGUUGUAAAGCCCUUUUGUUGGGAAAGAAAAGCAGCUGGUUAAUACCCGGUUGUUCUGACGGUACCCAAAGAAUAAGCACCGGCUAACUUCGUGCCAGCAGCCGCGGUAAUACGAAGGGUGCAAGCGUUACUCGGAAUUACUGGGCGUAAAGCGUGCGUAGGUGGUUGUUUAAGUCUGUCGUGAAAGCCCUGGGCUCAACCUGGGAAUUGCGAUGGAAACUGGGCGACUAGAGUGUGGCAGAGGAUAGUGGAAUUCCUGGUGUAGCAGUGAAAUGCGUAGAGAUCAGGAGGAACAUCCGUGGCGAAGGCGACUGUCUGGGCCAACACUGACACUGAGGCACGAAAGCGUGGGGAGCAAACAGG